rnacentral:rRNA from 1 species
AAUAUUGGACAAUGGGCGAAAGCCUGAUCCAGCCAUGCCGCGCGCGUGAAGAAGGUCUUCGGCUUGUAAAGCACUUUAAGUUGGGCGGAAGGGUUGUAGGUUAAUACCCUGCAAUUUCGACGUUACCAACAGAAUAAGCCGCGGCUAACUUCGUGCCAGCAGCCGCGGUAAUACGAAGGGUGCAAGCGUUAAUCGGAAUUACUCGGCGUAAAGCACGCGUAGGUGGUUCGUUAAGUUGGAAGUGAAAGCCCCGGGCUUAACCUGGGAAUUGCUUUCAAAACUGACGAGCUAGAGUACGGUAGAGAGUAGUGGAAUUUCCUGUGUAGCGGUGAAAUGCGUAGAUAUAGGAAGGAACAUCAGUGGCGAAGGCGACUACCUGGACUGAUACUGACACUGAGGUGCGAAAGCGUGGGGAGCAAACAGG